GCAGCUCGUCCGGCGUCGGCUGGAAGGGAAGCUGGUGGAGACGUUCCCGGGAGGAUGAGCUUGACUGGUAGAGAGUGGUGGGGAUCAGAGCCAUGAGUUCACCGUCAGUGCUGUGGCCAGGAACCCAGCACCACCCCUCAAGGCCCAGGCUGCCUGCUGGCCAUCAGAAGGUACCUCUUCCAGGAAGCCCCCCCGUGAGUCCAGCUGCCACUGUGUCCCCUGUCAAAGCUUCAACCUCUGAGCUGUAGCUUCUGGGGCACACAUUGACCACCCCCCACCAAACGGAGGACUCCCCAGGGGCUCAGGGCCAGCUGCCCAUUUGCGACCAUGCCCUCAGCCCGCAGCACAGAGCAUACACACAGUGGGUGCUUAAUGAAUGUUGUUGUAUGAAUAAAUAAAUGAAAUGCAAGCGUCUGGCACAUGACAGGUGCUCAAUCAGCUCUUGUUAAGUGAAUGAAUGAAUGAUUUCUUUAGUGAGUUAAUGAUUCUUAGGGCUAUAUCCCCCCAUGACCCCCCACCCCCUGGGCUGGUUGAAAUUA
rnacentral:lncRNA from 1 species